CUCUCUCUGUGUGUGUGUGUGUGUGUGUGUGUGUGUGUGUGUGUGUGUGUGUGUGUGUGCUGUCCUUGAUUUUGCCCUUGUUCCUGCCUCAUACCUUGGGUCCACAAAGCAGGCCAUACAAGCUAGAGUUUCCUUCCCAUGGUGACUUCCAGCACCUCUAACCUUCUUCACCUUCAAUUAGCCCUAGAGUAGCUCUCUGUCUUAACACUCGCCCAAAAGCAGGUCAUCAGACCGCCGCUGCCGCCGCAUUCUGGAAGAUUCCUGGCCCACACGAGGGAGGAAUGCUGAAGGAGGGUUAGCUGUCUUGUCUCCUUGAUGGCUGCUGUCUCAACAUAAGUUCUCAGCUCCUGCUCUAGAGCCAUGCUUGCCUGUUUCCAUGCUUCUCCAGACGAUGGUCAUGAACUCUGCUGCCCUCCGGAAUCAUGAGCCCCAGACUAAAUGCUUUCUUACGUAUGCUCACACGAUCUGAAAUUCGCUGCUGUGAAAACAGAAGGAAACGGUCCUGUCAGGAGAACCAGCCCCUGCAGUUCCCUAAGGCUGGCACAAUGGAGGAAGGUUCCUCUCCGCCUGAGUUCCUACCUCGGUGAUGGACUCCGUGAUGGACUAUGAUCCUGACACGUAAGCCAAACGAACCCUUUCCUCUCCAGGUUGCUGUUUAGCACAGCAGAAGCAGCAGCAGCAGGCUUCUCUCUCUCCUCUCAGAAGCAUCAUGUGCUCUUCGAUGCUGAGUCAUCUCACUAGGCCCCUCCCGAGCCCUCUUCCACACCUUCUGAGAGAUAAUGUCUCACGUGAAUCUCUGGCUGGCUAGAACUUAGAACCAGAGCAGGCUGAUCUCCAAACGAGGACCAUCUCCUGCCUCCCAGAUGCUGGGAUUCCAGGUGUGUGGGUAUGUGCGCCACACACCUGGCUACUGGAACACAUUUUUGUUAAUUAGCUGAAUUAGUCAUAUAGUCGUAUUAUGCUAAACUGCAUUAAUUUAGUUAGGCCAAGUGGUAUUAGUUAAUUAAAUUCCUGUAACAUGGAAGACAGCGGCUGGGGAGACCUUUUCCUAAGUGCUCCUCGCUCUAUCUCCCAAUGUUCGAACUUAAAUCUCUAUUAAAACUAUAUUUUAGGCAGGUGUGGGUGCUCUCAUAGGAUCAGAAAUCCAAAGCCACAACUAAGAUCCGGCAGGUGCUUGCAGACAGUGACAUCUUGUGGGAAAUCUCAGGAACUGCACCGUGGCAAAUCGCUGCUCCUUUUACUGUGGGGUCCUUGGAAUACCCAGUCAACAUCAAGGAAGCAUUCAUUCAUUCACUGCCUUCUGUGUACAAGGAACUGAUCCAAGUCCUGGAAUAAAGAAAGCAAGAGAGACUGGAUGGCUACACGGGGAGUGAAAAAAUUCCCAAGGAUUAUAACCUUGUCAUUACUGCUCAACUUUAAAUAUAUUUUGUGUGUGUGU
rnacentral:lncRNA from 1 species